CUAGAGACGGCAUCCAAAUCUGCCUUUGGCAUUUCCCUGUAUGUUAGCACAGUGCCGAAAGGCCCGCGACUAAGUACUAGGACCGGUUUGCGCUGGGUUCCCUGAUCAGGAAGCGCGACCGGU
ncrna:unclassified sequences Flavobacterium-1 RNA